AUUGAACGCUGGCGGCAGGCUUAACACAUGCAAGUCGAGCGGAGAUGAGGUGCUUGCACCUUAUCUUAGCGGCGGACGGGUGAGUAAUGCUUAGGAAUCUGCCUAUUAGUGGGGGACAACAUUCCGAAAGGAAUGCUAAUACCGCAUACGUCCUACGGGAGAAAGCAGGGGCUCUUCGGACCUUGCGCUAAUAGAUGAGCCUAAGUCGGAUUAGCUAGUUGGUGGGGUAAAGGCCUACCAAGGCGACGAUCUGUAGCGGGUCUGAGAGGAUGAUCCGCCACACUGGGACUGAGACACGGCCCAGACUCCUACGGGAGGCAGCAGUGGGGAAUAUUGGACAAUGGGGGGAACCCUGAUCCAGCCAUGCCGCGUGUGUGAAGAAGGCCUUAUGGUUGUAAAGCACUUUAAGCGAGGAGGAGGCUACUGAGACUAAUACUCUUGGAUAGUGGACGUUACUCGCAGAAUAAGCACCGGCUAACUCUGUGCCAGCAGCCGCUGUAAUAC
rnacentral:rRNA from 1 species